AAAUAUAUAAAAAUCAUCUUUAUUAAUUUUUAGAAUAAAUUAUGGACAUAUAUAAAUGAUUGGAAUGAAAAAGUUCUUUAUUGAUAAUUAAAAAAUUAUAAGUACAAGUUUAGACCCUGAAAAUACAUAAUGUGUCAGCCAACAAUUUACUUCUAAGAUACAAAUCUAACACUUCUUGGGAAGAAGAGUCUUCCAUGACGAGAAAAAAGUUGG
rnacentral:lncRNA from 1 species